AUUGAACGCUGGCGGCAGGCCUAACACAUGCAAGUCGAACGAGUGGCGGACGGGUGAGUAAUGUCUGGGAAACUGCCCGCUGGAGGGGGAUAACUACUGGAAAAGGUAGCUAAUACCGCAUACCAUCGGAUGUGCCCAGAUGGGAUUAGCUAGUAGGUGGGGUAACGGAUGACCUAGGCGACGAUCCCUAGCUGGUCUUAGAGGAUGACCAGCCACACUGGAACUGAGACACGGUCCAGACUCCUACGUGAGGCAGCAGUGGGGAAUAUUUCACAAUGGGCGCAAGCCUGAUGCAGCCAUGCCGGGUGUAUGAAGAAGGCCUUCGGGUUGUAAAGUACUUUCAGCGAGGAGGCGUUACUCGCUUAAGAAGCACCGGCUAACUCCGUGCCAGCAGCCGCGGUAAUUC
rnacentral:rRNA from 1 species